UGGAUGCCAGGCCACAGAAAACC
rnacentral:siRNA from 1 species